rnacentral:rRNA from 1 species
CGAGCGGCAGCCGGGUACUUGUACCUGGUGGCGAGCGGCGGACGGGUGAGUAAUGCCUAGGAAUCUGCCUGGUAGUGGGGGAUAACGCUCGGAAACGGACGCUAAUACCGCAUACGUCCUACGGGAGAAAGCAGGGGACCUUCGGGCCUUGCGCUAUCAGAUGAGCCUAGGUCGGAUUAUCUAGUUGGUGAGGUAAUGGCUCACCAAGGCGACGAUCCGUAACUGGUCUGAGAGGAUGAUCAGUCACACUGGAACUGAGACACGGUCCAGACUCCUACGGGAGGCAGCAGUGGGGAAUAUUGGACAAUGGGCGAAAGCCUGAUCCACCCAUGCCGCGUGUGUGAAGAAGGUCUUCAGAUUGUAAAGCACUUUAAGUUGGGAGGAAGGGCAGUUACCUAAUACGUAUUUGUUUUGACGUUACCGACAGAAUAAGCACCGGCUAACUCUGUGCCAGCAGCCGCGGUAAUACAGAGGGUGCAAGCGUUAAUCGGAAUUACUGGGCGUAAAGCGCGCGUAGGUGGUUCGUUAAGUUGGAUGUGAAAUCCCCGGGCUCAACCUGGGAACUGCAUUCAAAACUGACGAGCUAGAGUAUGGUAGAGGGUGGUGGAAUUUCCUGUGUAGCGGUGAAAUGCGUAUAUAUAGGAAGGAACACCAGUGGCGAANGCGACCACCUGGACUGAUACUGACACUGAGGUGCGAAAGCGUGGGGAGCAAACAAGAUUAUAUACCCUGGUAGUCCACGCCGUAAACGAUGUCAACUAGCCGUUGGGA